rnacentral:lncRNA from 10 species
CGCGGUCAGAUGAAAAGCUAUCUCAGGUGGACUACUGUUAUGAUGAAGUAUGAGAGGAAAGGAAAAUCAUCAUUGGGAUGAAUAGUAUCAAACAUCACCACACCCCUACAAGCUUCGCCAGAGACCCAAUUCCUGGGAGCUUAAAAAUCUAGAGGAGUUUUAAAAUAACUUCUUUCAGAAACCAAUAAUCCAUUCAGUCAAGAAAUGUAAUGGGUUCACUUUCUGCCUGAAUAUUGUUGGAGUCUACAAAGAUCGUCAGAGUCACAAUAUUUCUUUUUCAAAUUUUCAACCAACCACCCUGUUUGCGGAAGACAAGGUUUAGUAUUUUGCUGGAGUAUUUUUAUGUAGCAUAAACUUGAAACUUACUUUUAAGAAGCUUGAAAUUUAUCUGGAGAGAAAGCCUACAUUUAAAAAACAACCUUUGCUAUUCUUUGAGUAUAUACUGUUUGCCAGCACUACCAAAUAGUAUGGAAACAAGUGCAAAUGUGGGGCAGACUGAACCCAUGAGCUUUCAUAAAGACACAGAAUAAAGAAAUGGGGUUUGUUAAUAAUGAUGUUUUGGAAAAUGAAUUUUGAAUAUCUUUUAUUCAUCAGAAUGAACAUCAAAUAUUGCAAGGAACAUAGAAGAUUAAUAUAUAGCAGUGAAUAUAUUUAUGCCACUUUCUACCACUGAACCUCACCCUCUUCAGAAAGUGUCCUUUGUCCUCCAUAAACACACUGUCCUUCCAUCCCUCUGCUUUUGCCCCUCUUCUGUGCUUAGAGUCGCUGCCUGGAAAUCUGGACUAAAUGGUAAACUGGUCUUAGUGUGGAUUUGAUUUUUGUCCUUUUCAUUCAAAGGAAUGGCACUUUGUGGAUAAAGGGAUUUAUUUUCUGAGUCACUUGCUUCCAGACUAGACCAUGGCCACUUCCUUCUCAAUGGCCAUGUUCUUCCAACUCAGACUCUGGUGACCACGUGAUGGAGGAAGCCAGCACCCUCCCACCAGCACCAGUUUAGACAGAAAGAUCUUCCUGAUGGGUGUUAAGGAGGACUUCCUGAACAGGCUUCCCAGAGUGCUUGUGGCUUACCACCCCCUUGAAAGAGAGAAAAGAAAGAAGAGUUCCUUCCAGCCCAGCCUGGCAGACACAAGCCGGGAGGCAGCAAACCAAUGAUGGAAUUUAGGACACAUUACCUUGGCAUUUGAGAAGACAGUAGAAGCAGGAAGGUCACCCUCACCUUCCCCUUGCCAUUCUCUCCUGAAGCAGUUCAUAAGACUUUCCUUUGAGAGGUGCUCUCCCUAUACUAGAGGAAAGGAACAUCCUUAUCUCUGAAGACACAAGGACACAGAGGAGAUGUGAAAAACAGACCUUCCUAAGUUCUUCCUCGUUUAUUACCAUUAGAUGAUACCCUCUUUGUCCAAUUGCACAUCUCCCUGACUAUUCAUUUCUUC